AUGGAGACAUACACGGCAUGAAGCCCGAGAGUGAGAGACAUUAACUCCUUAGACUAUGACUUGAACUGAUUUACAUCUCAUUUU
rfam:Tupaia chinensis contig29212, whole genome shotgun sequence.